GGUCUGGGUCUUACGCAACAGAGCACUUCGAACUGUGUCAGGUCCUGACGGAAGCAGCACUAAGGAGUAAACUCUGUGUGCCGUAAGGUUGCCUAGGUUGAGC
rnacentral:SRP_RNA from 1 species